rnacentral:rRNA from 1 species
UGGCGAACGGGUGAGUAACACGUGAGUAACCUGCCCUUGACUCUGGGAUAACAUCUGGAAACAGUUGCUAAUACUGGAUAUGAGCUGCCCUGGCAUCGGGGUGGUUGGAAAGUUUUUCGGUCAAGGAUGGACUCGCGGCCUAUCAGCUUGUUGGUGAGGUAGUGGCUCACCAAGGCUUCGACGGGUAGCCGGCCUGAGAGGGCGACCGGCCACAUUGGGACUGAGAUACGGCCCAAACUCCUACGGGAGGCAGCAGUGGGGAAUAUUGCACAAUGGGCGGAAGCCUGAUGCAGCAACGCCGCGUGCGGGAUGACGGCCUUCGGGUUGUAAACCGCUUUCAUCCAUGACGAAGCUUUUGUGACGGUAGUGGAAGAAGAAGCACCGGCUAACUACGUGCCAGCAGCCGCGGUGAUACGUAGGGUGCGAGCGUUGUCCGGAUUUAUUGGGCGUAAAGAGCUUGUAGGCGGUUUGUUGCGUCGGGAGUGAAAACUCAGGGCUUAACCCUGAGCCUGCUUCCGAUACGGGCAGACUUGAGGAAGGUAGGGGAGAUUGGAAUUCCUGGUGAAGCGGUGGAAUGCGUAGAUAUCAGGAGGAACACCAGUGGCGAAGGCGGAUCUCUGGACCUUUCCUGACGCUGAGAAGCGAAAGCGUGGGGAGCAAACAGGCUUAGAUACCCUGGUAGUCCACGCCGUAAACGGUGGGUACUAGGUGUGGGGGACAUUCCACGUUCUCCGUGCCGCAGCUAACGCAUUAAGUACCCCG